AAGCAAUGAAGCAGGCCAUUCAAUCUGAUCAAUCUACUCCCUGGGGAGGUUGGAAAUCAAAUGAUGUGUACAACAAUUCAGGAUAUUGUUUGAAUUACUUGUCCUAAUAGGUGCACAAGUUGGGAUGGAUUGGACUUCUAUCUUGAGAAAACGCCAUGAUUUCAGGGCUGCUUUCGUCAGGUUUGAUGCAGAAAUCGUUGCCAACUUCACAGAAAGACAAAUAGCAUCAAUGGCCACAGAUUGCAACUUGGAUUUAAACAAGGUUCGAGGUACCGUCAACAAUACUAACAAAAUCCUCCAGGUCAGAUUGUUGAUUGGACCUGAUUUUAUUUAAAUGAUCUUGAUAAUCCAUUUUAUUUAAAUGAGCAGACCCGGAUGUGCGUCGGAGCUAUCCGGAUGUUGAACGGGGGUCCCUGGAAGGUGGGAACCGCUGUUAUGACCAUGAUGAAGCUGUCCAUUUCCUAUGGACAACAUUGGAGGGGCCUGGCCAUUUGGACAUGCCGUGUUUAUGUAUUUGAUCGAAAUUAAUGGAGCAGACCCGGAUGUGCGUCGGAGCUAUUCGGAA